rnacentral:tRNA from 1 species
GGUAGCUCAGUGGCAGAGCAGUUCUGGAAAUGCAGGGGUCGGUGGUUCGAAUCCACCCC